GUUUGAUUAUGGCUCAGGAUGAACGCUAGCGACAGGCUUAACACAUGCAAGUCGAGGGGCAGCGGGAGGAAAAGCUUGCUUUUCCUUGCCGGCGACCGGCGCACGGGUGAGUAACACGUAUGCAACCUGCCCCGGGCCGGGGGAUAAGCGGUGGAAACGCCGUCUAAUACCGCGUAUAUCCCAUGGGGGCACCCCUAUGGGAGGAAAGGAGAGAUCCGGCCUGGGAUGGGCCUGCGGCGCAUUAGGUAGUCGGGGGUGUAACGGACCACCGAGCCGACGAUGCGUAGGGGUUCUGAGAGGAAGGUCCCCCACACUGGUACUGAGACACGGACCAGACUCCUACGGGAGGCAGCAGUGAGGAAUAUUGGUCAAUGGGCGGGAGCCUGAACCAGCCAAGUCGCGUGAGGGAAGAAGGUGCUAAGCAUUGUAAACCUCUUUUGCCGGGGAACAAAAGAUCCCACGCGUGGGAUUAUGAGUGUACCCGGAGAAAAAGCAUCGGCUAACUCCGUGCCAGCAGCCGCGGUAAUACGGAGGAUGCGAGCGUUAUCCGGAUUUAUUGGGUUUAAAGGGUGCGCAGGCGGCUCGUCAAGCCUGCGGUAAAAUGUCGGGGCUCAACCCCGGCCGGCCGUUGAAACUGACGUGCUGGAGUUGGAGAGAAGUACGCGGAAUUCGUGGUGUAGCGGUGAAAUGCUUAGAUAUCACGAAGAACUCCGAUUGCGAAGGCAGCGUACCGGCUCCAUACUGACGCUGAGGCACGAAAGCGUGGGGAUCGAACAGGAUUAGAUACCCUGGUAGUCCACGCAGUAAACGAUGAGCGCUAGAUGUCCGGGCUGAAUGAAGUCUGGGUGUCACAGCGAAAGCGUUAAGCGCUCCACCUGGGGAGUACGCCGGCAACGGUGAAGCUCAAAGGAAUUGACGGGGGCCCGCACAAGCGGAGGAACAUGUGGUUUAGUUCGAUGAUACGCGAGGAACCUUACCCGGGCUCAAACGCCACAGGAAUACUUUGAAAGGAGGUAGCUCUUCGGAGCCUGUGGCGAGGUGCUGCAUGGUUGUCGUCAGCUCGUGCCGUGAGGUGUCGGCUUAAGUGCCAUAACGAGCGCAACCCCUGCCGCCAGUUGCUAACGCGUAAAGGCGAGGACUCUGGCGGGACUGCCGGCGCAAGCCGCGAGGAAGGCGGGGAUGACGUCAAAUCAGCACGGCCCUUACGUCCGGGGCGACACACGUGUUACAAUGGGGGGCACAGCGGGAAGCCAGGCGGCGACGCCGAGCGGAGCCCGAAAGCCCUUCUCAGUUCGGAUCGGAGUCUGCAACCCAACUCCGUGAAGCUGGAUUCGCUAGUAAUCGCGCAUCAGCCAUGGCGCGGUGAAUACGUUCCCGGGCCUUGUACACACCGCCCGUCAAGCCAUGGAGGCCGAGGGCACUUGAAGUACGUAGCCGUCAGAGGCGCGUCCUAGAGUGAAAUUGGUGACUGGGGCUAAGUCGUAAAAAGGUAGCCAAGGGCGAA
rnacentral:rRNA from 1 species